rnacentral:rRNA from 1 species
CUGGAGUACUCGAGUGGCGAACGGGUGAGUAACACGUGGGUAAUCUGCCCUGCACUUCGGGAUAAGCUUGGGAAACUGGGUCUAAUACCGGAUAGGAGCCAUCUUUAGUGUGGUGGUUGGAAAGUUUUUCGGUGUAGGAUGAGCUCGCGGCCUAUCAGCUUGUUGGUGGGGUAAUGGCCUACCAAGGCGGCGACGGGUAGCCGGCCUGAGAGGGUGUACGGCCACAUUGGGACUGAGAUACGGCCCAG